CCUGCCUCCGCCUGCUGAGUAGCUGGGAUUACAGGUGCAUACAUCCUCUCCAUCUCAUGAGGCAGCAGGCUCUGAACUGAGGAUCAACAGAUCUUCUUUCUGUAGUGAGCAUGAGCGCAUGAUGUAACGAACGCCUACCUGGAUCUCCACAUGAGAAAAGGCACUGUUAACACACACACCUGGUUCAAUGCUGUCGGC
rnacentral:lncRNA from 1 species